rnacentral:rRNA from 1 species
GACAGAGGCCCCGAGCGUUAGGCGGAAUCACUGGGCUUAAAGCGUGUGUAGGCGGGCCCGUAAGUGUCUUGUGAAAUCCCACGGCUCAACCGUGGAACUGCUGGGCAUACUGCGGGUCUUGGGCCAACUAGGGGCAGCCGGAACAAGCGGUGGAGCGGUGAAAUGCGUAGAUAUCGCUUGGAACGCCGAAGGUGAAAACAGGCUGCUGGGUGCGCCGACGCUGAGACACGAAAGCCAGGGGAGGCAAACGGG